rnacentral:rRNA from 1 species
GAUGAACGCUAGCGGCAGGCUUAAUACAUGCAAGUCGUGGGGCAGCACAAAUAGCAAUAUUGGGUGGCGACCGGCAAACGGGUGCGGAACACGUACGCAACCUUCCUUCGAGCGGGGAAUAGCCCAGAGAAAUUUGGAUUAAUACCCUAUAAUAUUUUGAGAUGGCAUCAUCUUAUUAUUAAAGCUCCGGCACUUGAAGAUGGGCGUGCGCCUGAUUAGGUAGUGGCGGGGUAAUGGCCCACCAAGCCUUCGAUCAGUAACUGGUGUGAGAGCAUGACCAGUCACACGGGCACUGAGACACGGGCCCGACUCCUACGGGAGGCAGCAGUAAGGAAUAUUGGGCAAUGGACGCAAGUCUGACCCAGCCAUGCCGCGUGGAGGAUGAAGGUCCUCUGGAUUGUAAACUUCUUUUAUCGUGGGAACGAAAAAGGGAUUUCUUUCCCGACUGACGGUACCAGGUGAAUAAGCACCGGCUAACUCCGUGCCAG